UAUAUACUCCCUCCGUUUCAAAAUUCUUGUCUUAGGGUUGUCUAGAAAUGGAUGUAUCUAAAUACUAAAGCGUGACUAGAUAUAUUUAUAACUAGAUAAAUUUAAGACAAUAAUUUCGGGACGGAGGGAGUAACUU
rfam:Hordeum vulgare subsp. vulgare, WGS project CAJW01000000 data, contig: morex_contig_52795